UGAGGCAGCAGAUUAAACUGUCUCCAUGGGAGAGAAGAACUUCUGGCUCUGGGGUUCCCUCCUCAAAGCAAGGUCACGUCUUCCCAAAUCAGAAGGGCUGGGCCAGGAGGGGCCACUCACAGAGCGGCCAGACCAGCCAGGGCCCCCCAACACGCCAUCCCAAAGCUCAGUGUGGGGAAGCCCAGCGCUGCAGGGGCCGUUGCCAAGUGAGCGCCACAGGCCAGCCCUGGGGAGGAGCGCACCCCUCAGGGCACUGUCUGUCCUCCCCGGCAGGGGGAGGAGUCUCCACUGGGCUUCGGCAGGGUCCCCACUCAGCCCAUCAUGGCCUGGGAAGCCAAACGGAGGCACCCACUGACUGGGGAGGGUUGGCCCUCCCUCAGGGUGGAGCAGGGCUGCUGUACCCUCCAGUGUCCAGAGACGGGAGUUCUAGGAGCAUCUGCAGGCCCACUGCCCUUCAGUCUCCUCUGACCCUGCACAGAGGGAGGGAGAGGGCAACAGCUCGUUUCCUUGUGGGACAGCAUAGGACAGAGAAGUCCAGGUGGGUCCCCUAGGGUUCCUCCCAGUGACCUAGGGGAGAGGUCAGUCUCUGACUGUAGGCCCGGAACAGUUUCCAGGAGAGGUGAGGUCUCUUGAGGUAGGACAUGACCCAGAAGUAGCUUGGCCACUGCAGGCCCUCUUCACUCCUUUCUAAGAGCUGCCCUCCACAGUCAUCUGGGAUGCAGCAGGGGUAACUGGCCUCCAGCAGCCAGGAUGAGCUACUGAGGCAGCUGCCUGGGUGCAUCCCCCUCAUCUGUGGGAAGACCCAGAGCUUUCCCACCCUGGAAGGCUUCCCCACGGUACCAAGAGUGGGAGACUGAGCCGUGGCAGGGAGAGGACCAGAAACGCCAGGGGGCUUUUGCCCUUUGGCAUCCUGGGUGAGCACACCAGAGGGUACCUGGGCAGCUGCACUUGCUGAGUUACUAGGAUGGGAACAUGCCCUCAUGCCCUGGUUGCAACCCACCGUGGUGUCCAGCCACCGUCAGCUGUCCUAGGAGUGGAGCAGCAGCAGCAUGCGACCUCUGGCUCCUCCCACAGGCACCCUAGUGGCUUUGUAUCCAACACACGGAGCACGGAGGUGAGAAGAAAAGGUGCUCUGGCUCAUUGGGAAGGCCCAGGGUCCAGGGCGUGACAUCACGGAGGACACAAAGACAUGGUGUCCACCUCGUGGCCAGGAAGCAGAGAGCAAAGGGGCUGGGGUCCCGCCUCCCAGUCCUGCCACCCGUGUGGCCCGUGGAGACAUGCCAGGUCUAAGCCAAACGUUCCGUGGCGUCUGCCGGUGGCUUCUGCCAGUGGCCACCCUGUGUCCCAUGGAGCAGCACUGGCUUGCUCUCGUGGCUGUGCAUCACCCACUUCCAGGUCCGAGUCACCACAGCAGACCUGCCACCAGCCCUCGUGUGUGUCACCGUGCAGGGGUGUUGGGCUUAUCCCCAGGGGUAGAAUCGGGGGCCAUACACAGUAUCUCAUCGCCUCUCGGCUCUGACGCAGCCUUCCGUUUCGGCCUGCAGCCCCGGCAGGCCUUUCUCUGCCACCGCCUUCACAGACUUGAGAGUAGAGACCGCUGUGGACGCCGGGGCUCCUGUUCCUCGUCCUCUCCUGGGCCUGCAGACCUACUCUCCUGCUUGGUGGGCCUCGUUCUGCAGAAGCUCUGCCCUGGUCUCUCCUGCAGCCUCUGAGGGGCUCCGUGGAUAGCUGAGAGCCAACGUCCUCCCCUCGCUGACUGGGCAAGCUGCUGCCCACAACUUCCUGUCUUAGGAUUCGGAUCUCCUCCACCCUCACUGGACACAACCUGAGGUGGACCUGCGGACCACCUAGAGUGGUCUCCUUGCCUGGGUGCAGGGGAGCCUGUGGCCAGUCUGCCCCUGGAACGCGGGAGCAGUGGGGACCACCACUCCAUUCUCAGGACUGUGCUGCAGAGUGGGCCGUGAAGGCCCUGCCAGGUCAGAAGGCCUAUGGGGGCCAGUGGCUGGGAGCUGGGCUUCUGAGCCGGGAGGGUGCAGGCUGUCGGUCGGCAAGACUUCAGGGCCCCCAGUUCUGCCAACAAGAGGAACAGUGUUCUGCCAGCAGCCCUGUGACCUGUGAUGAGGACCCGAGCUGCAGAAGGAGGCCUCGAUGGCACCCUCAGUGGCACCCUUGAGACACCGAGCAACCGAGCACUUCAGUCGAACCAGCCUGGACCCUGACCCCACGGGAGCUGAUUAGAAGGAGAGGAUAUGUUUUUGUGUUUUGUUUUGUUUUGUUUUUGUGAUCCUGGGAAUUGAACCCCAGGGCUCUUUACCACUGAUUAUAUCUCCUGUCCUUUUUUAUUUUUAUUUUGAGAUAGGGUCUUGUAAAUUGUUCAGGGUGGCCUUGAACUUGUGGUCCUCUUGCCUGUCUCCCAAGUUGCUGGGAUGACAGGCGUGUGCCGCCACAUCCAGCUGGGGUGUGUGUGUGUGUGUGUGUGUGUGUGUGUGUAUAUAUAUUUAAAAAUUUAUUUUUUAGUUGGACACAACAUCUUUAUUUAUUCUUUUAUAUGGUGCUGAGUGAGGCUGGAACCCAGGGCCUCACUCUGCUAGGCGAGUGCUUUACCGCUGAGCCACAACCCCAGCCCCAAGCUGGGAUAUUUUUUAAAGCCACUAAGUGUCAUUUGCUGGGCAGUGACAGAUGACGAUUAGCCUGCAGCAGGUACAGCUCAGCUCCCAGCCACGCAGCCACCCCUGCUCUGGCCCCUGCCUCUCAGCCCACGGACACCGUGCUCAGCUGAGGUGGACUGCAGUGUAGUCAGAAACUGUGCUCCAGAGGGGGCUGGGCGAGCGUGGGUCCUCGGGGCUGGGGUCUGUGUCACUGCCGUGGUUCUCUGUGCAGGGGGUGCCAGCACCUGCAGCUCCUGUGGAGUCAUCAGCAGAGGUUGGUUCCACACCAAAAGGGAAAUGAUGUUUUAUUUUGAAAUAAUUUCAAACUUGAGGACAAAGUUCAAGAACAAUACCAAGACCCCACCCUUCACCCAGGGGCACGGGCUGCUGCUCCUGCCUUACCUCAUCUUUACCUGUGGAUUCUCUUCCUUGAAGCAUGUGAGAAGCACCUGCAAAAGUCAUUGCCUUGGUCCUCAACACUCUACUCCCUCUUCAAGUUACACCCCAAUUGCCUCAGUGACCCUGCAUAGCUCUAUUUUCUCCCAAUUCUGGAUCCCAUAUUGGUCUCACUGUCUUGGUGUUUUUGUUGCUAUCACAAAGUACCUGAGGCUGAGUACUUCAUAAAUAAAAGAGGUUCAUUCAGGUCACAGUUUUGGAUGCUGAAAAAGUCCAGAGUCAGGCAGCCCCUCAGGUCAGUUUCUGGUGAUCCAGACCUUGGCUGUGUCAACCACAUCGUAUUGGGAAUGCACGUGUAGGCAAGGCCACAGGACAAGACAGGAAGCCAGAGAGAGAGUUGCUCAGACAGCUUGGGACUUGUGACCCUCAGCCUCCUAAGUGACCAGGGUGGCGUCAUGCACUGCUGCCCUGACGGGCCAGAGAACAGCCAUGCAAGAGCAGCACCGGUCCCGCCUCUCACGGCCCCGCCACACUGCGGACCAGACCCCCACAUGGUCCCUGGGGGACAGACCCAGCCCAAGCAGCUCGAGCAGGCUCCUGUCUUGGACCAGAGCCACUGAGACGUGGACACUGGCCAGUGUCAGGGCUUCGGCCCACUGUCGCCAGCUGCACUGCUCUGGGCCGAAACGGAGCAGAACAUGGUGGCGGGAGGCUGUGCAGGAGGAAAGCAGCUCAGGUCACGCCGCUGGGAGGGAGAGGCGCUGCCCCGGAAGCCCGCCCCCAGGGACCCCGCUCCACCAGCCACACCCCUGGUCCCUGUCACCCUGAGCCCUCUCGCCCGUCUCACUCAGCCUCGGGGACCCCUCCUCUCUGGGCUCCAGCAGCACCGUCCACCCUCAGUGUGCAGGGGCUGGGAGUUCUCUCAGGACCUCCCGACCCGUGUUCUGACACCUCUGCACUAACGGGGUCAGGGGUCCUUUCUGGCAGGCAUGCCGGGGGGCCACACUGUCCCUCCCUGUGCACCAGAGCUGCCCACCUAGCAGCGCUGACGCCAUAUCCUGUGGUCACUGGGCUGUGCCUGCGGGUUUCUCACAGUGUGGUUGUGCCUUUUCCCUUGGCGAUUAAUCAGGGAUCAGCGAGCAUGGCUGGUCCCCGGGGUGGUGGCUUUGAACUCCCAGCAGACAUGGAGCAGGUGCUUGUGAUCAGGGCCUGCGGCAGGUCUGAGGGGCCCUCUGUGUUGGGUUUGCAGCUCCCUGAGGACCGGCCAUGCUGAGCCUCCUUGGAGAAGACUGUAAAGAGGUCACUCCCUCCGUUAGCUUCACCGGGCAAGAGUGUGCCCGCGGCCCUUGUGAGGUCUUUGUCAGACGCGUGGUUUCAAGGAUAGAGCAGCACUCACAGUGCAGGAGUCUCAGGAGGCUGAGGCAGGGGGAUCCCCGGAACCAGGGAGACUGGGCCCAGCCUGGGCAGCGUGUGAAACCCUGCCUCUUAAGAAUAAAGUGAUAACGACAAUUUAAAAAUAAA
rnacentral:lncRNA from 1 species